CCCAAGUGCAUGGGGGUUUGUUGAAGCAACAGCACUCUUGAUUUCUUAGAGCUGGUAUGUGGGUGUUGGAUUGUGUCAUUCGUAGGAGGUGAACGUCAGAGGAAGCGGGAUCAACUGCUGGAGGUUUGUGAGCCAGAUGGUUUGGAAUCUACCACUGAUGUUGACAUCCUGACUGAAUCUCAGACUCCUGGGCUUCACUGCAGCUGGGCAACCCUCACCCCAUACAGACAGGCAGCAAGUGAAGGUAAAGACUUGCUAUGCUGA
rnacentral:lncRNA from 1 species